GUUUAGGUGCAAGGGUUUUACGCUUAACAGUGAAGGUUCGCCUGAGUUAGUGUUUUUGCUAGUGUAAGCUUUGAGAUUUUUAUUUUUUUCUAGAUGUUUAUGAUUUAUAGUGAAAACUACAUUCCCUGACCGCUCUUGCUGAUUUAGUUCGGUAAGGAAUCUUUGGAAUCUCCUGUUAUUUGUUGCGUGGCAGGAC
rnacentral:snRNA from 1 species